UACUGCUCUUACGCGCCCGUCAUACUCAUCCGUACAUCCACAGUCCCCAUAACCGCGUCUCGCCAGGGUUGCGUUUCCCUUCGCCCUCCUUCCGCUGCCUUUCUCCUGCACUUGCUCCACCCUAGACACUCUCGCGGAUGAUACACACGCGCCGCCGCGUAACGCACAGGAGGAUCUCUUAACUUCUGCAGGCGAGAAUGCCUGUCAUCCUGCGCACCGGUGCUCGCGUCGCACCUGGUGACGCCAUCUUCACAUCCCCUGCCGCUGUGACGACCUCCCACGAUGCCCUCGAAGGCGCUGCUGCCGAGGAGGCGGAUGUUGUGCCGGGUGAGGGAUGUGUGGUGCAGUACGUAGAGCGAUACGUAGCUCCAAGUGCGCCAACCGCGUCGGCGCCGUCGGCAGUGGUGGAGCGCUCGAUUAUAGCCACCCGUCACGGCGUCGCGCAAUGGGAUGGGCGCCUUGUGUCUGUCUUUGCCCUCGCCUCCUGCGCUCUUGCCUCGGCCGGUGGGACAGGGUACGCGACAGCGUGCGGCGCAGGCGCCUCCGUCGGUUCUGCGGUCUCGUCUCCGCGACACGCCGUGCUCGGGCCGCGGCCGGGCGACACAGUGCAUAUCCGCAUCACUCGGCUGAACCGCCUCUUUGCCUUUGGCGAGAUCCUUGCCGUGAACUGGAGUUGGUGUAGCCAUCGCAGUUUCUUCUCUGCGGCGGCCGGCGGCGGCAGCAACAGCGGCGUCUUCAAGGGCAUCCUGCGACAGGAGGACAUCCGACCGUUCAAACCCACGAAAGACCAGCUGCUGCCCCCUCCGCUGUCGCUGGCUUUCGGGGUGGGGGAUGUCGUGCUCGCCGAGGUCAUCUCACAGUCCGACGCGCACCAGUGCCAGCUCAGCACCACUGGCGAGGGCUGCGGCGUUGUGGAGAGCUUCAUAACCACCGUCGAGGGGCAAUACGGGGGCCAAGCGAAGGUGAAGCUGGAGCACAUACCCGGCCGUCGCGAUGCCAUGAUGAUUCGGAGCACGGGGGAGGUGGUGCCGCGGUGGUGCCCGCUGCUGCUAUAAGCGCUGCGACAAACGCCAUCAUCGCGCCGUGGUGCUGGCUGCGUGUCUGUGUGCCGAGAAGCAUGCUGCCGCAACGCCUUCCUUUACACAGGAGCCCCUCUCCUCCUCUCCUCGCAAACGCACGCACACAUGCACGCUGACGCACUGGCGUUCUCCAACGCACAUGCUGCAAUGCAAGGCGCUGCUAACGGCCCUCAACUCCCCUAGCCCGGCCCACUCACAUAAUAGACUGUAAGGUAAUCCAACACUGAUCGCGAGGCGCACACGGUGUCAUAUGCACAUCCUCACAUUCCCAGGACGGCCUUCGUGUAAGCUACCACACGAUGUUGUUGGGGUGCACUCCCCCCACGCCUCCCCUUAGCCCACCACCACGCCGGCUUCUCCCUCUCCAUCCAUGACCGCGCCAUCGCCCCUUCAUCCUCACCGCCACCGCUUUGCUGUCUGAGGGGGUGGGUGGGAGCACGUCAGGAAUGGCGGAUGGGGGAGGCGAGGGAGCCUCUCACGGGACAGCCACGGCAGCAGUUUCAGGCAUGAGCAGAGCGGUGCUGGCGACGGGUGAAGCGUUGAGCAUCACUACGGCCUCUGUGCAUGCGAAGCCUCGCAAUCAAAGACAUGCUUUCGAGAUCAUGCGCCACUCACUACCACCUCCGACUCGGCGAUGCAUUCUAUCGCUGCCUUUUCCCUUCUGCUUCGUUUGUUUGUCUGUGUACCCGCCCUGACACUGCGCACGCACGACAACUCGCUCGCUCACUCGUAG
rnacentral:misc_RNA from 1 species